rnacentral:rRNA from 1 species
ACUCCUGCGGGAGGCAGCAGUGGGGAAUUUUGGACAAUGGGCGAAAGCCUGAUCCAGCAAUGCCGCGUGAGUGAAGAAGGCCUUCGGGUUGUAAAGCUCUUUUGUCAGGGAAGAAACGGUGAAAGCUAAUAUCUUUUGCUAAUGACGGUACCUGAAGAAUAAGCACCGGCUAACUACGUGCCAGCAGCCGCGGUAAUACGUAGGGUGCAAGCGUUAAUCGGAAUUACUGGGCGUAAAGCGUGCGCAGGCGGUUUUGUAAGUCUGAUGUGAAAUCCCCGGGCUCAACCUGGGAAUUGCAUUGGAAACUGCAAGGCUAGAAUCUGGCAGAGGGAGGUAGAAUUCCACGUGUAGCAGUGAAAUGCGUAGAUAUGUGGAGGAACACCGAUGGCGAAGGCAGCCCCCUGGGUCAAGAUUGACGCUCAUGCACGAAAGCGUGGGGAGCAAACAGGAUUAGAUACCCGUGUAGUCCCA